UCCUGCUUGCCAUCUCUUUAUCUCUCUCUUUCCUCUCUCUCUCAAUUAUGGUGGGAUGUUUAUGGGGACUAUAUUGUUAUGGAGGUUGUUACAGGACUGGUCACCGAGGCAUUUUUCAGAUUGGAUCUUGAUGUGGGCGGUGGUGGUUCUAGUUGCUGGUGGCGGCGGCGGUGGUUCUGGUUGCUAGUGGCGGCGCUCAGGGUAAUGACAACUGGGUGGGGGGUUGUGGCAUCUUUAGCGGCGUGGUGAUGUUGGCGUCGCAUAUCUAGGGUUUGGUGGAGGAGAUCUACGGUUUGGUUGGGCGAAUCUAAGAUUUUUUGAUUUCAUGUCUAUAGAUGUCUAUGAGUAUCUAUGGGUGUCUAUGGUGUCUGGCGGCUAAGGUUCAAAGGACGAAUUAGGCUUUGAAGAAUACGUGACUACGGAUUACUACAAUUUUCUACAAGUGUCUAUACAUGACUACGGACUACUACGGUUUCCUACGGAUUUCUAUAGAAGACUACGGCCGAAAAAUAUUAAAAAAUCAUAAUUUUCAAUAUUAUGUAGAAAAAAAAGGAAAAAAUACGAAAAUG
rnacentral:lncRNA from 1 species